ACGGCUCAGUAACACGUGGCCAACCUGCCCUUGGGACGGGAACACCCCCGGGAAACUGGGGUUAAUUCCCGAUAGGUGAAGAAGUCUGGAAUGAUUCUUCGCUCAAAAGACGUUUAUGUCAUGCUCAUAUUCGUCGCCCAGGGAUGGGGCCGCGACCGAUCAGGUAGUUGGUGAGGCAAUGGCUCACCAAGCCUUUUACCGGUGCGGGCCGUGAGAGCGGGAGCCCGGAGAUGGGCACUGAGACAAGGGCCCAGGCCCCACGGGGCGCAGCAGUCGCGAAAAUUUUGCAAUACACGAAAGUGUGACAGAGCUAUCCCGAGUGCCAUCCGCUGAGGAAGGCUUUUACCCAGUAUAAAUAGCUGGGAGAAUAAGGAGAGGGCAAGUCUGGUGUCAGCCGCCGCGGUAAUACCAGCUCUCCGAGUAGUGUGGACGUUUAUUGGGCCUAAAGCAUCCGUAGCUUGCUAGAUAAGUCCUCUGUUAAAUCCACCGAUUCAAUCGUUGGAUUGCGGGGGAUACUGUUUGGCUAGGGGACGGGAGAGGUCGACGGUAUUUCCGGGGUAGGGGUGAAAUCCUAUAAUCCCGGGAGGACCACCAGUGGCGAAGGCUGUCGACUAGAACGCGCCCGACGGUGAGGGAUGAAAGCUGGGGGAGCGAACCGGAUUAGAUACCCGGGUAGUCCCAGCUGUAAACGAUGCAGGCUAGGUGUUUGGGCGGCCACGAGCCGCCCUAGUGCCGCAGGGAAGCUGUUAAGCCUGCCGCCUGGGGAGUACGGCCGCAAGGCUGAAACUUAAAGGAAUUGGCGGGGGAGCACCACAAGGGGUGAAGCUUGCGGUUUAAUUGGAUUCAACGCCGGG
rnacentral:rRNA from 1 species